rnacentral:ncRNA from 1 species
UGAGGCCGAAGGGUAAAAGGGAAGCAGGUGAGAUGCCUGCACGAUCUCGUCACUGUAUAUGCGGAGCGGAGCAGAUAUCCUGCGAGCGUGAGAACGUGAGCGGAGCCACUGAGAACAUCGGGAAGGCGUAUCUGAGCCGUGAUGAGGCAUGAGUCAGGAAACCUGCCGUAACUGCU